rnacentral:lncRNA from 1 species
UUUUACUGGCUAACCCAACCCAUGUGGAUGCAGCCAGAGUCAGGAGACAGGAAAAUAAACUUUGUCUCUUGCUGUGGAAACUGCAAAGUUGCAUAGAAGGAGGAGAAGAUAGACUGAGAGGAGAAAAUUUUAACCAGUAAUAUAAUUUACCACAGUAGCCAUCCACUGGACCCUUUGCAUUUCCUGAACACGUCAUGCCUGUUUAUGAAAGGGACUGUAGGGAUCGUUCUGAGCCAUGAGGACUCCUGGCUAAUCCAGUUUUGCUAAAAGACUGAUGUGAUGUUUCCUGCUUCUUGGACCUGUUACUUUGUUGUUGUUUUUUCCCCCACUGAUUCCAUGAAUCCUAAUAGCCUUUUAGUGCCUCCUGAAUGACAAGAGUCUUUCUGAUGCUACCAACUGAGAACCUUGACUAUAUCCCUUGAUAACAAACUCAUUGCUUUUGUCCAGAGAUUGGCUUUCUUGCUUCAGAAAUUAUUAGCAAGACGGGAGGAGGGAAAUUAAGGGCAUAGAUAAUGCAGUGCAGGUUCCCACAACUUUAUGUAAGCCAAAUGAACAGAGUUAUUUCCCUUUUGAAUUAGAAUCCUGCUGGGAGCAAAACCAUCUUGGAGAACCAAGCACACACAACCAUAGGAUUCAUCAUCCCUACCCCUUAGAAGAAGAACCAGGGGUAAGAUAGGAGGGAGCCACAGUGAAGAUACCUUCUCUCUUAAUCUUACUCAACUACAAUAAGUGGUAUACGUGACCCUGCCCAGGAGAAAGUAAGGACGUGAAAUCUCCCCAAGGAGUCUUUCUCUACUUGGAAUGCCUUUUCUGCCUCCAAUAGACACACCUCAUUCUGACCUUUCCCUUAAGAACCCUUUUGAAGAAGUGCUACUGUCUAUUCUAGCUCUUAUUUAAUCUGACCUCUCUUCACUCUGACUCCUGGGUACAAAUUUACUUUGUUCUUCUCUUAUGACAUUGUAUUUGUCUAUUUUGUGUUAUUAUGAUGAUAAACUGGAAGCCUGGUAACUUUUAAAGAAAAGAGGUUUAUUUUGGCUACACUCUGGAGAUCUAAGGUUGAGGGGCUGCAUCUGGAGUGCUUGUGUGCUUGUGUGUACUUAUCUUUUCUGGUCUCUCUUUCUUUUAUAAAGCCACCAAUAUUCAAUUAUGGGGAUUCAACCCUGUGAACGUUCCUAAACCUAAUAAUCUCCCAAAGGCCCCACUUCUAAACACCAUCAUUGGAUUGUUUCCACCCUCUUAAUACCUCACAGUAGGAUGGAAUUUCAACACGUGAACCCUUGGAAACACACUCAAAUCAUAGUGGACAUGAAUUAUUACUGUUUAUCCACCAAUACAUAUGUUCAUGUAGGCUGUGACUAUGUAAGUGACCAAAAUGAGUCUUAUUUGUCUUUUUAUUUUUUGGAAGGAUGGAUUAAAUGAAAGUUGAAUUUGUUUUAUAAGACCAUAAAAAACCUGGUGGCAAGAUUAUUUCUCUUUCAUAUUUUUUAUCUUUUGAUUCAUCUCAUAUAAUUCCUUGGAUUUAGUAGUUAUUCUAUAAAUAAAUAUUUGUUGAAUGAUAUAAAUAAAAAUAUGCUUACCCGCAGAGCUCUGAGUUUUAUUACUGAAGCAUUUAUUUACAUUAUUAAAUAAUUUGUAAGAGUAAGAGGCCCAAGAGAAUAUUUUUGUGAUUUUUUUCUGACAAUUUAUCAUUUAUUCUCUUGACCCCAUAGGAAAAAAGCUUGGAAAAGAUGGAAUUUAGUAUGGAGAAGUGGUAACUGAAGCCUGAUU